AAAUGUUCAACGUAGCAUAUUGCAGAUGGUCUUGGUUGGGAGGCAUCAUGGGUAAUAUCUGAAAGGCUCUGCUUUUCAUACUCCCCCACAAAAAGAGUAACUAGGGAAGAAUUUGCCUUGAUGUCCAGUGCUAAUGUUACCAGCAGCUAUUCCCUGUGAAGGAAUGAGAUACAUUACAAUUAAUUUGUGGCAAUGUUAUGGCUUUUCUCAAGCCAUUGAAAUGUUGGAAGGUAGGUACCCCAAGAAUUUCAUUAGUACCACUCAACAGUCAAUGAAUAGAUGAAAACCACAAAGCAGAACAAAGUUGCCUGCUGCAAUGUGGAGGGGGUGUUCAUGCAUUGUCAUGCCUGCUGCCAGAAAAUGGGGCACAAGCUGAGUGGCCCUUCCUCAGCAUUGCCUGCCACCUCACUCACUGUCGGUGCUCUCUUCAGAUGCCUUUUCUGUUCAAGGUGGUGGAACUGGGCUCUUGUGUUGGGUUUAUUUUGCAAAAGACAUCAAGGUAGACUAAUAAACCAAGCUAGAAGCAAAAUUGUCCACUUAGGGAACUUCGCUGAAUAUAAAAAUACAUUGCAAGAAGUCAGGCUUCCACGUUCUUUGGGAAACAAAGGAAAGAUCCUCUUUCCUU